GUCAAACGGUUGUUGUUUUCUUCAAACUGCUGUGUGGCUGCUUGAAUGGAUUCGUCCAGAUCUUUGUUGGUGGGAUUUGUGGUUCUAGGCAUGGUUCAAAUCGAUGAAAGCACCAAUGAUGCUAGGUUCACGCUAUGUUAUCUCAAACGAGGGUUAUACUAGAAGACAAUAAAGAGGCGUAAUAUAAAAACUGAGAAAAUAAAAUACUUCAUUCAUAACCUCUAAGGAGGCUGCACAUACAUUUAUAUAGCUAGGGUUUUAGCUACUAAUGGAUCCAAAUAGUAAUGGGCCCAAGGCCUCUUGAAGGAAUUCAAAUAACU
rnacentral:lncRNA from 1 species